AGUGAACGCUGGCGGUAGGCCUAACACAUGCAAGUCGAACGGCAGCACAGUAAGAGCUUGCUCUUACGGGUGGCGAGUGGCGGACGGGUGAGGAAUACAUCGGAAUCUACUUUUUCGUGGGGGAUAACGUAGGGAAACUUACGCUAAUACCGCAUACGACCUACGGGUGAAAGCAGGGGAUCUUCGGACCUUGCGCGAUUGAAUGAGCCGAUGUCGGAUUAGCUAGUUGGCGGGGUAAAGGCCCACCAAGGCGACGAUCCGUAGCUGGUCUGAGAGGAUGAUCAGCGACACUGGAACGGAGACACGGUCCAGACUACUACGAGAGGCAGCAGUGGGGAAUAUUGGGCAAUGGGCGCAAGCCUGAUCCAGCCGUACCGAGUGGGUGAAGAAGGCCUUCGGGUUGUAAAGCCCUUUUGUUGGGAAAGAAAAGCAGCAGGUUAAUACCCCGCUGUUCUGACGGUACCCAAAGAAUAAGCACCGGCUAACUUCGUG
rnacentral:rRNA from 1 species